UCAGGAGGGGUAACCCUUCUGAGGGGAGAGCGGCGAACGGGCGAGUAACACGUGGGCAACCUGCCCCGGACACCGGGAUAACCCAGGGAAACCUGAGCUAAUACCGGAUACUCCGGCGCGAUCGCAUGGUCGCGCCGGGAAAGCUCCGACGGUCCGGGAUGGGCCCGCGGCCUAUCAGCUUGUUGGUGGGGUAACGGCCCACCAAGGCGACGACGGGUAGCUGGUCUGAGAGGACGGCCAGCCACACUGGGACUGAGACACGGCCCAGACUCCUACGGGAGGCAGCAGUGGGGGAUCUUGCGCUAAUGCGCGAAAGCGUGACGCAGCGACGCCGCGUGGGGGAUGAAGGCCUUCGGG
rnacentral:rRNA from 1 species